rnacentral:sRNA from 1 species
UUGCUCAAUCUGGUGCUGUUGUACUGGUUGAUGCACCACUAACGGGCAGAAUCCGCCGGCUCUCUGUGUAAACGCCCAGUUAAACUGGGGCUAUAGGGACUUGGCACAGCUGCUGCAUUAGCUUUGCCAACACCCCACAUAUAGCCGCUCCUUCAACGACGAAGGGCCGAGCUUCCCGAGAGAACGGGACCAGGACAAAGGCGUCCUCGCUAGCUGACUAGCGGGGAUGCC